rnacentral:rRNA from 1 species
UACGGAGGGGGCAAGCGUUGUUCGGAAUUACUGGGCGUAAAGGGCUCGUAGGCGGCCAACUAAGUCAGACGUGAAAUCCCUCGGCUUAACCGGGGAACUGCGUCUGAUACUGGAUGGCUUGAGUUCGGGAGAGGGAUGCGGAAUUCCUGGUGUAGCGGUGAAAUGCGCAGAUAUCAGGAGGAACACCAAUGGCGAAGGCAGCUCGCUGGGACGGUACUGACGCUGAGACGCGAAAGCGUGGGGAGCAAACAGG